rnacentral:rRNA from 1 species
UACGGGGGGGGCAAGCGUUGUUCGGAAUUACUGGGCGUAAAGGGCUCGUAGGUGGCCAACUAAGUCAGACGUGAAAUCCCUCAGCUUAACUGGGGAACUGCGUCUGAUACUGGAUGGCUUGAGUUUGGGAGAGGGAUGCGGAAUUCCAGGUGUAGCGGUGAAAUGCGUAGAUAUCUGGAGGAACACUGGUGGCGAAGGCGGCAUCCUGGACCAACACUGACACUGAUGAGCGAAAGCCAGGGGAGCAAACGGG